rnacentral:rRNA from 1 species
CCCAAUGCAAGGAUAAACACAAGUUCCAUGUUGCAUUGUUUAUUACAACUGCACAUGACAUUUUCUGCAAAUUAUCUGAUUACAUCAUUACAAACAAACAAAUAACUUUUAACAAUGGAUCUCUAGGCUCUUGCAUCGAUGAAGAACGCAGUGAAGUGCGAAAGUAAUGCGAUUUGCAUGCUCUGUGAGUCAUCGAAUCUUUGAACGCAUAUGGCACCUUUUGGUUUUUACUAAAAGGUAUGCCUGUUUGAGAAUCAUUUUUAUUCUUUUGAUCCAUUUAAUCCAACAGGUCAUUCACUUGAUUUGUUGUUCUUGGAUCGACAUUGGACUUUUAUCAUUAAUCGUCCUGAAUUCAUACACGGAUUGUUCGUGAUAGAGGAAGUGCUUGCACUUGUUGUAUCCACCGAUCAAUCCAUCCACCUUUAUUAAUGAUCUCAAAUCAGGCAAGACUACCCGCUGAACUUAA